CGCGCAGGCGGCCAGGUCAGUCGAAUGUGAAAGCCCCCGGCUCAACUGGGGAACGUCGUUCGAUACUGCCUGGCUCGAAGGUAGGAGAGGGAAGUGGAAUUUCAGGUGUAGUGGUGAAAUGCGUAGAUAUCUGAAGGAACACCAGUGGCGAAGGCGACUUUCUGGCCUAUUCUUGACGCUGAGGCGCGAAAGCUAGGGGAGCGAACG
rnacentral:rRNA from 1 species